rnacentral:rRNA from 2 species
CACCGCGGUUAUACGAGAGGUCCAAGUUGACAGCCAUCGGCGCAAAGAGUGGUUAAGUGACCCCAAUACAACUAAAGUCGAACGCCCCCAAGGCCGUUAUACGUACUCGGAGGUAUGAAGCACGACUACGAAAGUGGCUUUAAAACCCCUGACCCCACGAAAGCUGUGAAA